GGAACGCGUUUUCGGAUCGUAAAGCUCUGUUGUUAGGGAAGAACAAGUACCGUUCGAAUAGGGCGGUACCUUGACGGUACCUAACCAGAAAGCCACGGCUAACUACGUGCCAGCAGCCGCGGUAAUACGUAGGUGGCAAGCGUUGUCCGGAAUUAUUGGGCGUAAAGGGCUCGCAGGCGGUUUCUUAAGUCUGAUGUGAAAGCCCCCGGCUCAACCGGGGAGGGUCAUUGGAAACUGGGGAACUUGAGUGCAGAAGAGGAGAGUGGAAUUCCACGUGUAGCGGUGAAAUGCGUAGAGAUGUGGAGGAACACCAGUGGCGAAGGCGACUCUCUGGUCUGUAACUGACGCUGAGGAGCGAAAGCGUGGGGAGCGAACAGGAUUAGAUACCCUGGUAGUCCACGCCGUAAACGAUGAGUGCUAAGUGUUAGGGGGUUUCCGCCCCUUAGUGCUGCAGCUAACGCAUUAAGCACUCCCCCCUUGGGGGAGA
rnacentral:rRNA from 2 species